UCAUGUUAAUUAGUAAUAUCAUAUUGUAUUGCUUUUAGUUUGUUACAGGUAGGUAAAGUUCACUGUUUUUUUUGCAGUAGUAUUUAACCAAAUAGUGAAAAGUAAACAGCGAUAGAUGCAAGAAUUCACAGUAGAGGUGUGGAAUGAGUUUAAACUUAUUCUAAAAAUUCAUGAAAAUCCAAUAAAAAAUAUUGUUGUAAAUGUCUUUUACAUCUCAAGACACCUUUGUUUUGUUUCCAUAGCAAUUUGAUAUAGUAUUUUUAAGAUUUUUGCUUGUUAUUCUGAUGCUUUAAAUAUUCUGAUAGAGGGGGAUGCAACCCCCUAGAUUUUUUACUGGUUACUUAAUAUAUCAUGUUACUAUAUAUAAUAAAUUAUUAUUACAGGUGGCAGUUUUAGAUGCUUGUGGCAUCCACCCUAAAAGAAUUAUCUAUGAAGCAAUGAAUAAACUUUUAACUAAGGAUGUUGCUUCGAAAUAUAAUAAAACGGGUACUGCCCAGAAAAGUAAUUUUUGCACGGAAUUCAAAAAUAUUUAUUCAGCCAUUAUAGAGGCAGUUAGUAGUCAGCAUGCUGACACCAAAGAUAUUCAACUCCACAGUUUUAUUGGAGAGUACUUGCGACAGGCUGGUGUCUUGAAUAUCCGGAACGAGAAGAAAAA